rnacentral:lncRNA from 1 species
AAGCUGCAAAAACGGAGGAAAAUAAUAAUAAUCUCACACAAGUCAGUCCUGAAAUCCUCGUGAAAACGAUCAGGUUUGCUGUAAAAACGGAGUGGAUGUAUGUGAAUUGGCGAGAUGUUUUACUUACCCCGUCGAGGGUGUCGAAGAGCUUCCCGGUGAGGUCCUUGAGGUCCUUCUUCUCCUCCUUGGUGGCCUUGGAGGAGAUGACGGUCUUGAGGUCGUAGCGCAGGUAGGAGGCCCUGAGGCGGAGGUCGUUCAUGACGUACGGCCAUUGCUUCUUGUCGAUGAGCGGCUUGAGGUUGAGGAUGUCCUGGGCCGACUCCUUGGCCCGGGCCGCCGCCGCCGCCGGAGGCAGCGGCUGCAGGUAGAAGCGGUUCUUCAGGGGGAGCGCGAAGUCCCUCGCCUCGUCCGAGUUCUCCGUCCCGGCUGUACCACAACCCCAAAUCAUCCAUCAUUACACAUCAUUUUUCAAUUGAAAUUCUACAAAAAAAGGUAGUAAUUCGUGCACGAGCAGUAGUUAUCUGGAGGCACUCACGGAG